AUGUAUAUUUUUGUUCAUCUGGUUUGGUUGAAUCAACGGAGAUAUAAGGGAGAAAUGAAAAUAGAGAUAAAGAGAGUGAAACGAAGUGUGUUGAUAUAUUCGAAGACUAAUCCGCGAAGAGAUGAGGUAAAAAAGAUGCGUUUUGUAGAGAUCUACUGCGGCGAAAUGGAUCGGAGAAGAUUGAUACGCGGCAGCGAAAUGGAGAGGAAUGGUCAAAGAAUUGGGACCGUCACAAAUUCAAGCCUGAAUUUCUCUCCAUACGCUGCAUUUUGA